GUUUAGAGAACCCUACACCAAGGUUUAGCUGGUUGCAUUCCAGGUCUCAUAUCAGAUUGCAAACAGGCUGCUUUUAGAUCGGCUUAGUUUUCAUGUACUUUUUUUUUUUAAGGUCAUGGAAGCUGAAGAUCAGAAAAGCAAACAAGAAAAAAAUUCUUCAGCUUAGAGAUAAGCAGGCAGCCCAAAGAACAUGUUCUUAAACAUAAGACCUCAGUAAUUAUAUUGAAUAGAAAUUCAACCAAAUGGAGCUGGCAAAAGCCCAGGCAGGCAACCAGGAGAUUCUUGUGAGUAAAAGCUUCCUGAGGCCUCCUAAAGCCAAGCAGAUGCUGGCACUGUUUCCUGUACAGCCUGCAGAACUGUGUAUCUCAAGCCAACAGAGUGGAUGAGACCACCCAGCAAAGUGAAAAAGGAAAUGCAAAGAUGUGGGCCAAGUGCAGAACCCUGGAGAACAAAUGUCAAGUGAGCCUGGAGGAAGGAGCCAGGAUGUCCCAGUGGAAGGAUCUGGCAACGCCUGGUGGAAAUGUGGUCUGGAAAUCAGUACAUAUGUAUUGUUCCUGACCCUAUAAAGAGUA
rnacentral:lncRNA from 13 species